GGUUGCGUAGUGUAAUGGUUAUCACUUCAGAUUCUGACGAGUACAGUGAUACAAUCUUCUGGAAAUCCCGGUUCGAUUCCGGGCGCGACCU